rnacentral:rRNA from 1 species
AUUGAACGCUGGCGGCAUGCCUUACACAUGCAAGUCGAACGGCAGCGGGGACUUCGGUCCGCCGGCGAGUGGCGAACGGGUGAGUAAUGUAUCGGAACGUACCAUUCAGUGGGGGAUAACUAUCCGAAAGGAUAGCUAAUACCGCAUAUUCUGUGAGCAGGAAAGCAGGGGAUCGCAAGACCUUGCGCUGAUUGAGCGGCCGAUAUCAGAUUAGCUGGUUGGUGAGGUAACGGCUCACCAAGGCUACGAUCUGUAGCGGGUCUGAGAGGAUGAUCCGCCACACUGGGACUGAGACACGGCCCAGACUCCUACGGGAGGCAGCAUUGGGGAAUUUUGGACAAUGGGCGCAAGCCUGAUCCAGCCAGGCCGCGUGAGUGAAGAAGGCCUUCGGGUUGUAAAGCUCUUUCGGCCGGGAAGAAAUCGCAUCAGCUAAUACCUGGUGUGGAUGACGGUACCGGAAUAAGAAGCACCGGCUAACUACGUGCCAGCAGCCGCAGUAA